rnacentral:rRNA from 1 species
CCUACGGGCGGCAGCGGUGGGGAAUAUUGGACAAUGGGGGGAACCCUGAUCCAGCCAUGCCGCGUGUGUGAAGAAGGCCCUCGGGUUGUAAAGCACUUUCAGUGAGGAAGAACGCCUGGUGGUUAAUACCCAUCAGGAAAGACAUCACUCACAGAAGAAGCACCGGCUAACUCCGUGCCAGCAGCCGCGGUAAUACGGAGGGUGCGAGCGUUAAUCGGAAUUACUGGGCGUAAAGCGCGCGUAGGUGGCUUGAUAAGCCGGUUGUGAAAGCCCCGGGCUCAACCUGGGAACGGCAUCCGGAACUGUCAAGCUAGAGUGCAGGAGAGGAAGGUAGAAUUCCCGGUGUAGCGGUGAAAUGCGUAGAGAUCGGGAGGAAUACCAGUGGCGAAGGCGGCCUUCUGGACUGACACUGACACUGAGGUGCGAAAGCGUGGGUAGCAAACAGGAUUAGAUACCCGAGUAGUC